CUAAGGAUCAUGUCUGCGAGUCAGGAUUCUCGGUAAGAAAGGCAUUUGCAAGAGGUUAAUGGCUACUUACCCCGCAGCUCCCUUCCGAAGGUCCCGCCGGGGAAAAGUUGAGAGACCCAUCGCACCAAACCUACCAGGUUGCGGGAGAAUCGAACCGGGAGGAACCGUCCGGGGAGGGGGGGGAAAUCCCAUGGCCGACGCUGACACCAGUGUGGAUACGGGAAAGGACGGCCUGGAUAGGGCGGAGGGCGCGAGGUUCGUCACGAGGCCUCGGCCUGUGGGGAUGCCGUACGCGAAGCUUGGGUACUGAAAGGCAAGAUGAGGUCGCGACAUAACGUGGGAAAAAGAAGAGGCGGCUGUGCGGCCCGGAGCCGGCUGGUCUGGUUGCCUCCCUAUGUUGGGCAGGGCGUGCGCGCGAGGGUUCCGGAGAAUUCUGGCGGUACCACUCGCGACAAGCAGGGGUGCCUGGGUCUUCAGCGAGUCCCUUCGUCGCGCUUGGAAUGUGGGUCGGGGAAGAAGAAACCGGCCGUUCGGGGUGCUGGUUUUCUUGACGGCCAGGACAGAGCCUAACCCGAAGGAGCGGCCGC
rnacentral:lncRNA from 1 species